AUACAAAUAUGCCCUCGAACUUAUUCUGCACGGCUCAAAAGGCAUAAUGAGGUCGUUGCAUGGUUUAGGCGGAAGGCAGAAAGAGAAUCUUUCAUUUCUGCGGAAGAGCCUCGUGUUAAAGUCGGUGACAAAAUUCUAAAGCCUGAUUUAGUUUUAGUUAAAGACAGGAGGGCACUAGUUGUCAAUGCCCAGGUGGUGGGGGAGUAUAAACCCUUAAACUCUUUAGAUGCAGACAAAAUACGAAAAUAUUCGAAACCUGCAUUUAUUGAUAAAGUAAAAGAAACCUUUGAGCUUUCACGUGUUGAUGUCUACGCAAUCACAACCUCAGAACGUGGUAUAGUUAGUUCUAAUUCGGCAAACUUUUUGAACUCGGUCGGAGUAUCUAAGAGGGAGGUCGCCUACCUUGGCCAGUUGGUGGCCAGAGGUACGCUUAAAUGCUUUUACCACUUUAUGCGUGGUACCCAACGUGGUUUUUAAACUUACGACGAUACGAACUUCGAUAUUUUUUUUUUCUCUCAUGUUGACUUGCAAUUGUUUAACGAUGCAUACGUGUGGAUGUAAAAACUUUUUGCGCGAAAGUGUUUAUCUUGUGUGCCCGCCCGUAAGGGGCGUCUGCCAUGCCGGCAUUUUUAAGGUUUAAGCUUUCCCUGAAAAAAGCGAAUGUAUUGAUCAGUGUGUCAAUAAACAAGACUAGCCAAAUGCCUCGUCAUCUAAUUAGUGACGCGCAUGAAUGGAUUAACGAGAUUCCCACUGUCCCUAUCUACUAUCUAGCGAAACCACAGCCAAGGGAACGGGCUUGGAAAAAUCAGCGGGGAAAGAAGACCCUGUUGAGCUUGACUCUAGUCUGACUCUGUGAAGAGACAUGAGAGGUGUAGCAUAAGUGGGAGGCCGUGAACCCUCGCGGUUGUGUCGUGCCGUCAGUGAAAUACCACUACUUUCAUCGUUUCUUUACUUACUCGGUGAAGCGGAAAGCGGACCAUGAGUGUCCACGCUUCUAGCACUAAGUGCAAGGCCCUUCGUUGGCCCGCACGAUCUGUUCCGAGGACAGUGUCAGGCGGGGAGUUUGACUGGGGCGGUACAUCUGUCAAAUGGUAACGCAGGUGUCCUAAGGCGAGCUCAGCGAGGACAGAAACCUCGCGUAGAGCAAAAGGGCAAAUGCUUGCUUGAUCUUGAUUUUCAGUACGAUUACAGACCGCGAAAGCGGGGCCCCUCGAUCCUUUUG
rnacentral:ncRNA from 1 species